CCUGCGCUAUAAAAGAGGCCGCUCGCUGCUCUCUGUUCUCUUUCCUGCGCACCUCGUGGUUGCUAGCACUCUCACUGCUACUUAAGCGAUUAAAACAUGUGCGUACCGCGUUACACGCGAGGAGCAGGUCGCCACGCUCCCAGACCACCUUUAUAAAUAUUGUGACUUGAUCGUGAUUAUCUGCUGGAUGGGUUCCUUCGUGAUUUUAAGCGCAGUUCACUGAAAUGGUGGACUUAAUGUGAACAUCUGAUCCUUGACGCUUGAUGAAUCCGCUUCCAGAACCCGUCUGAAGCAUGUUUUCUGUCUAUAGAUCGAUCAGAAGCCACCGUGAAGUCUCUUGAUUCACCUGGAUGCAGUGCUAAGCGCUCCAUGGUGACCGUGACGAAUGCUGGAGAUUGACGUCAGACCAAAUGUCUUUACAAUGUUUAUUAAAUAAAAACUAUGAAAACUA